CCAUGAAGUGUCUCGUGCCCA
rnacentral:siRNA from 1 species